GAGUGAGGGCCCUCUGGGUCCAACCUCCCACCCGUGUCUAUCGUACCUUGUUGCUUCGGCGGGCCCGCCGUUUCGACGGCCGCCGGGGAGGCCUUGCGCCCCCGGGCCCGCGCCCGCCGAAGACCCCAACAUGAACGCUGUUCUGAAAGUAUGCAGUCUGAGUUGAUUAUCGUAAUCAGUUAAAACUUUCAACAACGGAUCUCUUGGUUCCGGCAUCGAUGAAGAACGCAGCGAAAUGCGAUAAGUAAUGUGAAUUGCAGAAUUCAGUGAAUCAUCGAGUCUUUGAACGCACAUUGCGCCCCCUGGUAUUCCGGGGGGCAUGCCUGUCCGAGCGUCAUUGCUGCCCUCAAGCACGGCUUGUGUGUUGGGCCCCCGUCCCCCUCUCCCGGGGGACGGGCCCGAAAGGCAGCGGCGGCACCGCGUCCGGUCCUCGAGCGUAUGGGGCUUUGUCACCUGCUCUGUAGGCCCGGCCGGCGCCAGCCGACACCCAACUUUAUUUUUCUAAGGUUGACCUCGGAUCAGGUAGGGAUAC
rnacentral:rRNA from 1 species